rnacentral:rRNA from 1 species
UACGUAGGGAGCAAGCGUUGUCCGGAUUUACUGGGUGUAAAGGGUGCGUAGGCGGCUUUGCAAGUCAGAAGUGAAAUCCAUGGGCUUAACCCAUGAACUGCUUUUGAAACUGCAGAGCUUGAGUGGAGUAGAGGUAGGCGGAAUUCCCGGUGUAGCGGUGAAAUGCGUAGAUAUAUGGAGGAACACCGGUGGCGAAAGCGGCUCUCUGGCCUGUAACUGACACUGAGGCUCGAAAGCGUGGGGAGCAAACAGG